rnacentral:rRNA from 1 species
GACGAACGCUGGCGGCGUGCCUAAUACAUGCAAGUAGAACGCUGAAGAGAGGAGCUUGCUCUUCUUGGAUGAGUUGCGAACGGGUGAGUAACGCGUAGGUAACCUGCCUGGUAGCGGGGGAUAACUAUUGGAAACGAUAGCUAAUACCGCAUAAGAUGGAUUAUCUGAUGAUACUUCAUAGAAAGGUGCAAAUGCAUCACUACCAGAUGGACCUGCGUUUUAUUAGCUAGUUGGUGGGGUAACGGGCCACCAAGGCGGCGAUUCAUAGCCGGGUUGGGGGGGUGGUCGGCCACACUGGGAAUUGGAAACGGCUCAGACUCCUACGGGGGGCAGCAGUAGGGAAACUUCGGCCAUGGAGGGAAGUCUGGACGAGCAACGGCGGGUGGGUGGAGAAGGUUUUCGGGUCGUAAAGGUCUGUUGUAAGAGAAGAACGAGUAUUAAGGUGGAAAGUUCACACUGUGACGGUACCUUAACAGAAAGGGACGGCUAACUACGUG